AUUGAACGCUGGCGGCAGGCUUAACACAUGCAAGUCGAGCGGAGAUGAGGUGCUUGCACCUUAUCUUAGCGGCGGACGGGUGAGUAAUGCUUAGGAAUCUGCCUAUUAGUGGGGGACAACAUUCCGAAAGGAAUGCUAAUACCGCAUACGUCCUACGGGAGAAAGCAGGGGAUCUUCGGACCUUGCGCUAAUAGAUGAGCCUAAGUCGGAUUAGCUAGUUGGUGGGGUAAAGGCCUACCAAGGCGACGAUCUGUAGCGGGUCUGAGAGGAUGAUCCGCCACACUGGGACUGAGACACGGCCCAGACUCCUACGGGAGGCAGCAGUGGGGAAUAUUGGACAAUGGGCGGAAGCCUGAUCCAGCCAUGCCGCGUGUGUGAAGAAGGCCUUUUGGUUGUAAAGCACUUUAAGCGAGGAGGAGGCUACCUAGAUUAAUACUCUGGGAUAGUGGACGUUACUCGCAGAAUAAGCACCGGCUAACUCUGUGCCAGCCGCCGCCGUAAUAC
rnacentral:rRNA from 1 species